GAGAUCGGGAUAACACCUGGAAACAGAUGCUAAUACCGGAUAACAACAGAUGAUGCCUAUCAACUGUUUAAAAGAUGGUUCUGCUAUCACUCUUGGAUGGACCUGCGGUGCAUUAGCUAGUUGGUAGGGUAACGGCCUACCAAGGCGAUGAUGCAUAGCCGAGUUGAGAGGACUGAUCGGCCACAUUGGGACUGAGACACGGCCCAAACUCCUACGGGAGGCAGCAGCC
rnacentral:rRNA from 1 species